GGGUUGUGAGGUUAAGCGACUAAGCGUACACGGUGGAUGCCCUGGCAGUCAGAGGCGAUGAAGGACGUGCUAAUCUGCGAUAAGCGUCGGUAAGGUGAUAUGAACCGUUAUAACCGGCGAUUUCCGAAUGGGGAAACCCAGUGUGUUUCGACACACUAUCAUUAACUGAAUCCAUAGGUUAAUGAGGCGAACCGGGGGAACUGAAACAUCUAAGUACCCCGAGGAAAAGAAAUCAACCGAGAUUCCCCCAGUAGCGGCGAGCGAACGGGGAGCAGCCCAGAGCC
rnacentral:rRNA from 1 species